rnacentral:rRNA from 1 species
UACGUAGGGAGCGAGCGUUGUCCGGAUUUAUUGGGCGUAAAGCGCGCGUAGGCGGUUUGAUAAGUCGGGUGUGAAAACUCCAAGCUCAACUUGGAGCCUGCAUUCGAAACUGUCAUGACUAGAGUCAGGUAGGGGAACACGGAAUUCCAGGUGUAGCGGUGAAAUGCUUAGAUAUCUGGAGGAACACCAGUGGCGAAGGCGGUGUUCUGGGCCUGUACUGACGCUGAUGCGCGAAAGCGUGGGGAGCGAACAGG